rnacentral:rRNA from 1 species
GGAAUUUUGCGCAAUGGGCUAACGCCUGACGCAGCAACGCCGCGUGGAGGAUGAAGGUCUUUGGAUUGUAAACUCCUGUCAGCAGGGAAAAAGCGACUGGACCUAAUACGUUCGGGAGUUGAUUGUACCUGCAGAGGAAGCCCCGGCUAACUCUGUGCCAGCAGCCGCGGUAAUACCGAGGGGGCGAGCGUUAUUCGGAAUUAUUGGGCGUAAAGGGCGCGUAGGCGGCUUUGCAAGUGACGGGUGAAAGCCCGCGGCUUAACCGAGGAACUGCCUGUCAGACUGUGAGGCUUGAGACCGGGAGAGGUGAGUGGAAUUCCCAGUGUAGCGGUGAAAUGCGUAGAUAUUGGGAGGAACACCAGUGGCGAAGGCGGCUCACUGGACCGGAACUGACGCUGAGGCGCGAAAGCGUGGGGAGCAAA